rnacentral:rRNA from 1 species
AUUGAACGCUGGCGGCAGGCUUAACACAUGCAAGUCGAGCGGUAACAGAUCUAGCUUGCUAGAUGCUGACGAGCGGCGGACGGGUGAGUAACGCGUAGGAACCUGCCCAGUAGUGGGGGAUAGCCCGGUGAAAACCGGAUUAAUACCGCAUACGCUCUACGGAGGAAAGGGGGCUUCGGCUCUCGCUAUUGGAUGGGCCUGCGUGAGAUUAGCUAGUUGGUGAGGUAAUGGCUCACCAAGGCGACGAUCUCUAGCUGGUCUGAGAGGAUGAUCAGCCACACUGGGACUGAGACACGGCCCAGACUCCUACGGGAGGCAGCAGUGGGGAAUAUUGCACAAUGGGGGAAACCCUGAUGCAGCCAUGCCGCGUGUGUGAAGAAGGCUUUCGGGUUGUAAAAGCACUUUCAGUUGUGAGGAAAAGUUAGUCGCUAAUAUCGGCUAGCCUUGACGUUAGCAACAGAA